AUUUUUAACUUCCUGAGGCUUCCCCAGCCAUGAUGAACUGAAUGUCCUUCGUGAGUCUUGCUUUUCCUCCUGUGUGCUGGCAGAGAGAGGAUGGUGGCGCGGCCAACACACAUUUGUGACUGAAGACCAUGGUGAUUUUGUAGCAUCCUGAGUAUUUCACAUCCAGGCGGAGGCUCCGCCCUGGGCGCUGCUCCUUGGGUCUCCUUUUCUGGAGAGAGAUGAAGACCUCGGCGAGGGGCAUGUUCUUGUGGGGAGGUCAUCGCUGCUGGGAAGGAGAGGACAUGCUUGUUGUCUAGUAAAGGCCUUGAUGACACCCCAUAUUAAAUUCAGGGAAUGAACCUCUUUAUUACAAAGUGCUCCAUGUCAGCCAAGGUGGGAGAGAAGUGAGGAAGCAUGGGGUCUAGUGGGACAGACAGACCUGGGCCAGCUCUCCCAGAUGCAUCUAAUGAGGUGAAAGCAUCCACCCAGAGUGAGACUUGAGGGGGGACUGUACAUUUCACAUCCUUUCCCGUUAUUGGAUUUACAUUUCUGACCUUAGGGAAUACUGAAGUCAGAAAUUUUUAAAUUCUGACUUUCCAGAUCCAUUCCAAAGUUGAUUCUGCAGAACAGUUUGUUUUCUUUUUUUCGCCCCUUGUAGCCCCGGGCUCAAAAUGCCCCCUUAACAUUCCUAAGUAGAAGAAACUAAACAUCUAAAUGACCAAAGUAAUGCGGGAAGGCACGCAUCAGAUCCAGAAACCCAAUGUGCAUUCAUCACGACACUGCCUCCUCCUCUUUCCAAACCUGUGCAGCCCUAUGCUCCUUAUUUUUGUAUUCCCAAAGGUUUUUGACUCACCUUUCCUGCGUUCCUUUCUCUCACCCGUGCAUCAUUUGGAAAACACAAAAGUGCUGCUCCUGAGGUUUUGCACCCUCUCCCUGUAGCCACUCACCAGCAAGCCCACUCUGCCAUGGCAGGGCCUGAAGCCUGUCAUUCGGGAACUAUGUGAUGGCACUCAGAAUCUUAGAAGCAAGAACAGCAGAUUUGGGGUGCCUGCAUUUUUUAUGGGAUACUGAUCUGGCCAGCCUUUCUUUCCCAUAGGAAUGGAGAAAAUGGUGGCAGAGAUAGUCCAAAUGAGCUGAUGAGCUCAAAAGUGAAUUGUGUUUGCCUUUGAAAGGGGGUCUCAGAUUUGCACUCAUUCCUUCUGCACAGUAGCACGACAGUCAUCCAGCAGUGGCAGUGGUAUCGAGGGUGUGUGUGUGCGCUGCCUCUGCGUGGAGCAGGAAGGCAGGCUAGAAAUGUAUCUGGAUGGCUGAGGGGUGCAGCCACAGACAGACUGGAAUCCUUGGUGUGGGACGGUGACUCAAUGGCAUGUUAUCACAUAUCAACAGAUGAAGAGAGCUUUCUUCUUGCUCCCAGGCCUCCUCUUGACUAGAGAAUGCAUUUCCGCUGCUGGUUGCUUCAAGGUAAGUCUGAGCAAAAGCCUCUUCGCUAUGACGAGGGAGACACAGGAGUCUGUAACACCCUUGUAAAGGGCUCCUCAGGGACCAAGAUCUAGAAAGAAGGGUACAGAAAGGAAAGCCAAUGGUUGUUUCCCCAGUUCUGCCCCCAUCUGAGGAUCCUCUUAUUUUAUAAACUGUUGCCCCGGUUCUUCCAGUCACUUUCAUAAAUCUUUGCAAGUACAUGGAUACCAGAAAAAAAUGUGUCUGCUAUUAUCCUAAACCACCCUGCAUGGCCAACCUGACCACAGGCAAGGCAAACAGCUAGGGAAAUGCUCUCUUCACUCCAUCUGUUCUCAGGCAACCACAGAUAUUAGCAGCAUGCACUGCAUGAAGUGUACAGGCAGGCAGGGUCUCAGUGCUGUGGUGUGAAAAAAAUCAGAGAUUUCAGUAAACGUAAGACCAACCCCCAUAACAUUUGUUAUUCAGCAGAGUAGUUAAGAGUUCUGAAACCAAACUGCCUGGGUCCAAAUCCCAGCUCUGGCACUUAUUAGCUGUGUGGUCUUACGAGAGUUACUUAGAUUCUCUGUGCCUCAGUUUCCUCAGCUGUAAAAAGAGAAUAUCAACCAUAAUAUCUACCUUGUAGGAUUGUUGGAAGGAUUAAAUGAGUUAAAAGAAACUUAGUACAGUGUGUGGUACUUAGCAAGGACUACAUAAAAGUUUGUUACAAAAAAAAAAUUGUGUAUGUAAUAGCACACACAGGGGGGGCACAUCUACUCAGCACUGUUGGCUUCAUGACAAAACAACUGAAAAGUCAUCAGACUGCUCCAUACUUGCAAGGAAUAUAGUCCACACUCACGAGGAUCCAAAUCCAGCAUUUUGAAAUCUAAUGGUACUAGUGAAACUGCUGUUAGGCCACUAAGUGCUAAGAUGUUAAGACUGGGCUUCCAUCGUGCCUGUGACAUAUUUGUCGUCUUUUCCACCAAUCUUCUCAGUGAGUGAAAGAACCUCAGGGUCCAAGGCUCAUCUAAUCACCCAGCAAAGAAUAAUUGUCAAUACGAUUUGUGUUGUGAAUCAAGCCUUCCUUGGUAGACAGGAGCAGUAAACCCUGAACAGAAGGGGCAAGCGAAAGAGAAGGGAGGAAAGUCUUUGUAUUGUUUUCCCUUUCUGUUCCUUGCUGGGCCAAAAUGAAACCCCGGGGCAACGCUGGGAGCCUCUGUGGCCUCCCAAGGCUGCCUCUGGUUUUGGACUUGAACUCAAGUGGUCUGUGAAGCCUGCGGCCCAUCGCUGCACAGAGCUCGUGGGUCUUGUACUUUGGGGAUCCACAGGCAUGUCUACAAGUUUUUAGGGGAUCCCAACUAUCUCAGUUCUGGCCAGACCUCCUGAAGAUGCUCAAAUCCUCCCCCAGCCCACCCCUGAUCUGUGCAGGCUUCAGGGAGCCAGAUAUGGAUUCUAGGGAGAAACCUGUGUUUCCUGACGUUCCACUGGAAUUUGCAGAGUUUAACAGGCUGUGGGCUAACAAAUAUUUUGAAAGGCCUUGGAACACCCAGCAUCCUCCCACCUUGCUCCAAGCAAAAUGCAAUGUGCCUUCCAUCUCAUCUUCGGCAUUUCCCCAGCCCUUCUCAGCAUGAGCUGAAAGGAACACUUCAUUGACCGGUCAAUAAGUCAUGUUUAUCGAACUGACAGUGUGUGACGUAGGGGUAUGCAAGCUGCAGAGAAAGAUGGGUGAGCAGGGAAAAAAACAACCCAGUCAAAUGUUAGGAUUUAUGUAUAAAGAAAAAGGCUCUCCACUUCUCCUUCCCCAGCCUGGACAUUUGCCAACCCUCCUUUCCCAAAAGCUCCACAAGGAAAUGGGCAUCAUACCCUGAACUCAGAAGCCCUUUCUUUAUGUGGUGCUGACCUCUAGAGGCUUCUAAUUAAAAAGCAUCCCAAAGGGCCAACUUAAUUUUACUGCUGGUUUUUACACUGUACAUUUAUUGCCGUAUUUCCCUACAAAAUAAGGAUAAAAUAUUUGUUACUUUAAAUGAUCCCUUAAAAAAUGCCUACCUUGUUCCUUGACUGCCUAAUUAAAACUUGCCCAGAUCAUUACAAGUGUCAUUGUUUACUCCAAAAAGGAAAAAAGGAGGGUCAGAGACAGGGAAAGUACUUCGAAGAUUUUUGCGUAUGGUGGCCCUAAAAGGGAAGCACAGUGCCAGCUUUUUCAGGAUGCAUUUCUUGCGUUUCCAAAGGGCCAAGUCUGCUAAAUAGAGACAGGAAUGUUCAUUCACUCCGAUUUGGCAGGGCACCGGGCAACGCCACCCCGACAGACACUCGGGUACACGGACACCAAGUCCUCCUAGUCCAGCCCCGGUGUGGGGUCUAAAUGCUGGGUGGUGGGUCUGGUUUUAUUUUGUUGUCCUUCAACCCACACCUGUACACAAUGAACUCUAGGACAAUGGAGGAUCCCACUUGGCCCAACUUCACUAUGGAAACAAGGCUAAUUUUUAAAGGGAGUGAGACUGUUGAUUACAUCCCUAAGCUAAACACCCCAAUUUCAUUUUGUUGUAGUUCUGACUCCUUAUUACUUUCACGAAGAGAAGGAAGGUGUGGGAAGGCAGAAGAAACGUGCAGGGACAUAAGCAUGCGGGCUGACACACAGCCACAGUAUCAGCUGGCGUCUUCAAUUCCAAAAGGGAUCCUAGGGAAAAGGGCUUCAGAAUCCCAGGACAGUUUUGCCAAUCCUGGCCGCCCCACCCUGGUUUUGUGAGUGUUUCCAUAACUGUGUUUCUUGUCCUCCCUACUGACUCCUGACUCCCCUAGACAAGUCAGGGCUAGUGCCCAAAGGGAACUCAGGGACAAGUCCCCCAAUCUUUAUUUUUACAGAUGAGGAAACAAAGCCGGAAAUGGGGUGGGGUGGGGAAGGGUCAUGCCUAGGGCCACAGUCAGCCCAGGAGGAGUCUGGGCUAGAACCUCUUGCCCUCAGCCACUGAUUUCAGAAUGAUUACGAGGGGGAAACGUGGGUAUUUUUAACACCAGUCCCUGCACUUAAAGGAGCCAACCUGCAUUUUAUGAACUCUAUCUCUGAGACGGAUAGAAUAACUGUAACAAAGGCAGUCCAUCAGUAAGGCUUCGCCUGCCCCGCUGCUGCACCACUACCUUAGCCGAGCGGGGUUGGAAAUGCUGACACACAGCUCACCACUUGAGUACAAUCUCUAACAGCAGCAUCGAAAACAAAGGACUACACACUAUCUAACAUACACACAAGCCUUUAUGCUGUGCCUGUGAAGCCAAUCUCAAAUCUAAUCGAAUCUAAUGGGUCUCUCUAUGGAGACCCAUUCAUUUGGAGAAAGAAACUUGCUCUUAAUCAAAUAACAGAACUUACCAUCAACUUCCAGAUAAGUUAUUUAAAUGCCAUGUUUACUGAAUAAAUAACCAGGAGGAAGGUGGUGGAGACAUGGUGUCAUGUCAUAGAAUGACCACAGAAUACAGAUUUCUAAUUGAUGCCACAAAGAAUUCCUAAGUAGGCUAGAAAAAAAUAGGAUUCUCAAACACAAAACUAAAGUAUUGGUUCAAAGAAGAAAAUUACUAACUACCAGUUAUAGCAUCAGAAUAGACAUAUGAAUGCAUCACACAGAAAUGAUUAAUCUUUGAACAAUGACAGUGUUUCAUGUCACCAGCUCCUCCCUCUCUUCCCCCAGCCUCCUCACACACAGCAACCACACAGCGAGCUGCCAGUCCUUUACUCCUUGUUCUUCAUUUAUAAGCCACAUUAGGUGUCCUUUAGGACCAAACAUUGUGGAGGCAGAAAAAAAAGAGGCAAACACCACCAGAGUUUGAAAGGCUCUUUAAUAGCAAGCGAAUGGUAAUUACAUGGUCGGAUGAGGUCCUCAAUCUCAGGGGAGGGAGGAGGGAGCAGAGGUGGACAGGGUGCAGUACAGGAUUUACACUGUUUGAAGCAUCUAACGAAGGGCAACAGUUUUUGGCAACCCAUUUCACAGUUUUGUAAUUUACAAGAGAUUUCUUUGAAAGGAAAUAGGAAGGCAAAGAAAGCACACAUACCCUACCGGCAACACUUCUUGCCUUAAAAAAAAAAAAAAAGAAAGAAAGAAACAACCAAAAAACAAAAGCUCAACAACUAUUCCUUGCUUUUGCUUCUUGUGUAGAUGACUAAAUUUUGCUCUCAUGCUCAAAUUAAGACUGGACCAUGGAUAGUGAAGAUCUGCCCUAGCAUUGAAGAUUGACUUCCUCCUCUUCAGAGCUGACAUUUGUACCGAGCACUGCUCUUAUCUUUAUCUGCCUAGGUAUCAGAAGGGGCUUAGUAAAAAAUGAAACU